rnacentral:tRNA from 1 species
AAGUGAGAAGCAAAUAAUUGCAAUCAGUUUCGACCUGAUCUUUGAUACAAACUUAUCCUUACUUU